CCUGACUCUAGAGGCAUUGCAGGUGUGGCUGCUGUGUCACAUGUGUGUCAGUAGGUGGCAGAGAGUAGAGUGGCUAUGUCUACUCUCAGUGUUCUGACCUGCGAACAUCUGCAUGAUGAGUAGCCUAAGAGU